rnacentral:rRNA from 1 species
CCUUUAAAGAGUGCGUAAUAGCUCACUAGUCGAGUGACACUGCGCCGAAGAUGUACCGGGGCUAAGCAUAAUACCGAAACUGUGAAUUCUUAUGAAUGGUAGGGGAGCGUUCCAAUUGCGAUGAAGGUAGACCGUGAGGACUGCUGGAGCGUUUGGAAGUGAGAAUGCCGGUGUGAGUAGCGCAAGCUGGGUGAGAAUCCCAGCCACCGAUUGUCUAAGGUUUUCUGGGGAAGGUUCGUCCUCCCAGAGUAAGUCGGGACCUAAGGCGAGGCUGAAAAGCGUAGUCGAUGGACAACAGGUUGAUAUUCCUGUACCGCCUAUGUAACUGAUGGAGUGACGGAGAAGGCUAACAAGAGCCAGUUAUUGGAUUCUGGUCUAAGCACAAAGACUUGUGAGUAGGUAAAUCCGCUACACUAUAAAGUUGAAGUGUUAUGGUGACGAGAACUUCGGUUCUUUAAAUCUUGUGACGCCAUGCUUCCAAGAAAAGCUUCUAGGGCUAAUUACAUAGGCGCCCGUACCCAGAACCGCCACAGGUGGACAAGAAGAGUAUUCUAAGGUGAGCGAGAGAACUAUGGCUAAGGAACUCGGCAAAAUGACCCCGUAACUUCGGGAGAAGGGGAGGUUACUUCGGUAACCCGCAGUGAAUAGUCCCAGGCAACUGUUUACCAAAAACACAGCUCUCUGCUAAACCGCAAGGUGAUGUAUAGGGGGUGACACCUGCCCAGUGCUGGAAGGUUAAGAGGAAGGGUUAGUAUGGCGUAAGCUAUGAUACGAAGCUCUGAAUUGAAGCCCCAGUGAACGGCGGCCGUAACUAUAACGGUCCUAAGGUAGCGAAAUUCCUUGUCGGGUAAAUUCCGACCCGCACGAAAGGUGUAAUGAUCUGGGAACUGUCUCGGCCAUAGACUCGGUGAAAUCUUAAUACCUGUGAAAAUGCAGGUUACCCGCAACAGGACGGAAAGACCCCGUGGAGCUUUACUGUAGCUUGAUAUUGAGCUUCGGUAUGUUAUGUAGAGGAUAGGUGGGAGACGUUGAUACUAUGGCGCCAGCUAUAGAGUAGUCAUCCUUGGAAUACCACCCUUAACAUAUUGGAGUUCUAACCUAGACCCAUUAUCUGGGCCAGGGACAGUGUCUGGUGGGCAGUUUGACUGGGGCGGUCGCCUCCCAAAAAGUAACGGAGGCGCUCAAAGGUUCCCUCAGAAUGGUUGGAAAUCAUUCGAAGAGUGUAAUGGUAUAAGGGAGCUUAACUGCGAGACCAACAAGUCGAGCAGGUGCGAAAGCAGGACAUAGUGAUCAGGCGAUUCAGUAUGGAAUGGUCGUCGCUUAACGGAUAAAAGUUACCCCGGGGAUAACAGGCUGAUACCACCCAAUAGUUCAUAUAGACGGUGGUGUUUGGCACCUCGAUGUCGGCUCGUCACAUCCUGGAGGUGGAUUCGCUUCCAAGGGUUGGGCUGUUCGCCCAUUAAAGUGGCACGCGAGCUGGGUUCAGAAC